CGCAGCUCUGAUUGGCCAGGAACGGCGAACCAUGGCCACUGAAUGCUGCGGUUGGCCGUGCCUGCGGACGGUUGAUGUAAACAAACUGUCUUGCGGCUGCCAGCGGAUCACCCUGACGGGCUGCAUGAGGCCCGCAGGUUGCCCAGCACUGCUAGAAGCUUCACUUUCAUUUGCAAAGGCACUUCUAAAAGCCUGACAAAACCACUAGCAUUCAGAACGGUGAAACAAUUUAGUCCUGCCAAAACAAAAUCCUGACUAACCCAAUGAUAACUUAGUUCUCCAAACCUAAACCGCAUAUCCCAUAAAAGAAUUGAAGAUUAAGGACCAUAAUUUCCAACCGACUGGAUAAACCUUAUCACGGUUCCAUUGAUUUAAUAUGUCUACCAAUCUUCAAUCCUAGUUUAGUGACUCUACACACAGUUGGGAGUGAACAGAAGUUGGAUACAUGCAAAAUAUGACCCUAUUUGGGCUUGCUUUCUGUAUGGUUUCAGGCAAAGGAACAGUAACAAAAACAGUGUUGAGGAUUUCAUUCAGAUGUCAAUACAGUCUGAUUUGUUUUAAUUCUUUAACUCAAAAUGUUCAUAUUGCUUGUUUAUUUAACAGUACAGGGGGUUUUGUACUUUAUUGAUGUAUUGGAAUACUACUAUACCUUGAUCUCCGCUCUUUAACAUUAACUUCAAAAACAGAAUACCACCAUAAAGCUGUGUGGGAGCCUGUCCUAUAAAGAAUUUUAAUUCAUUGGGCUAGAAGCUAAGACCGUGGCAGAUGGGGUAAAGAAAAAACAUGAGACAAAGAAGCAGAAGAAUAUAAUAAUUAUGAUUGCUCAUUAGCUCACACUAGAUGAGAGAAGUCUUUUUCAUGAGAUUUUUUUUAAUUCCAAAUACCAGUAUCAUAUAUUUGUUAUUCAAAAGUGAAAAAUGACUAAUUUGCACUACAUCCCCAGUUUAACUCCAGCAGAGCAAUACCUACUUUUACCAGUGCUGAAUCUGGCUGCAUGUAACUUUUCAUUAACCGCCUUGCUUUUCCCAAAUGUGAAUACAGAGUCGCUAAACUAGACUUGAAGAUUGGCAGGCAUGUUAAACCAAUGACACCAUGGUAAGUGCUGUCUAUUUGGUAAAUAUGUAAGCACUAAAUACAAUUCAUUUUUCAGUUCUUUUCAAGCAUCAGAAACUGUACUAGACAUCUCACACAAACAAUAAAAUAUGAUCAGCAUCCUGAAUAGCUUACAGCCUAAAUUCAAUAUGGCACUAGAAGUAAAGGUCAAACAAAGGAAGGAGACAACACCUAUCAGAGAAUGUUGUAAUACAGAAAUUGUUCUUGUUUCACUUGUUUCCUUUUCUUCACAUUCAUGUCUUGUAGGUGAGAUAAAAGAGUGAUUUUUAGGGUGGAUAUAAAGAAAGGAAGAUUGAUGAAGAGAUCUGGAGACAGCAUUCCAAGUACAAUGGGAACUACAGAAGCAAGAGGCUCAAAUUCAUAGUUGCCCUAUGUGAUUUUUAGCAGCUAGACUCAUGCAAAGGGGCUGUAGGGAGGUAUAAUAAUCACCUCACCAUUUCUUAGGAAUAGCCGUAGAACUGGGGGGUGGGCCAGAGGAGGAGAAAAGAGUUUGGGAACAAGGGGUGGUUAGCCGAGCUGUUAUGUCAAGGCAGUUCUGCACCAUUGAACAGGAGCCACUGCAACAGGGUGCAAUCUGCCCUCGCCUACACUGGGGACACCAGCAGCUCCUGAACAAGAGAAUGUGCAAGGUGCACCUUGCAUGUAUCUAGCUUGAAAACAUUUGAGAAACAAGGAGACAAAAGGUCAGCAGCAUUAGCACAGUGAAGCCAAACAUUUGUAGGCAGCAAAUUGAUGAGAAAAGUCAGAGUUGCUACAACUAAUAAAACCGGAUCUAUAAAAUACUGUGUGCUUUUCCUGGCAUUCACGGAAUACGGAAUCCAAACGCAUUUCACUAGCCACCUUGCAAACCAUUUUUUUGCACAUUUAAACUUUAACCACAAAGGUAUGUUGUAGACCUUUAAUGCAAGGAGAGUGACUUUAGUUCUAAGUGGUAAACACUAAUGUGGCUAGCUCAAAGAUAUUAAGCAAACAGGUGAUAACAUUCUGCAAACAACUUAGGUAAUGACUCCGCUGCCCUGUAGCUCUCUACAUGUAAGCCAACCUUCUACAUGAAUAAUUAAAAGAAAAGCAAUUGUCAGUUGUGGCUCUUUCUAAACUAGUUUGCCCUGACUAAAAUCCAAGUCCCAAACACCUUUUUAAAAAACAAUUUCAAGCUAACAUAGUUGCAUCAAUUGUGUGUUUAACCUAACUGUGUUAAACCUGUUUUUAAAAGCCAUUCAAGACUGCUUCUGAACAUGUUCUAAUAAAUGGCUUGGAAUGACCCCAUAGCAGUUAUGUAGAAGUUUUUCUGUGUAGGACUCAACGCAUUUUAUAAAUAGUCUUUAGCACAAAUAAAAAUCAUUCCCAGGAACUAAAGGGUUAAUAUUCAGUGCCUACGAUUAAAUGGAACUCAGAAAAAAAAUAGAUGUGUUCCCACUAUCAUCAGAGAGAAAUGUCUGUAUCUGAAAUAAUUAUAUUUGUUGUCUGGAUAUCCACAGUAUUUACACUUCAGUAUGACUGUACAAUAUUUGUGCAAGCCUCAUGCAGUGUUGCUUUCUUCUUUAAAUUAAAGCCAACAGGCCCCAGACUUCAGAAGAAACCACCUCAGUUCCUAUCAGUAGUUUCUCAAAGCAAAAAAUCCAGCUCAGAAAAUCCACAGAAGUUUGAGAACCUCCAGCUGGCAGUUGUGUUCUAUUUUGAUAUUUUCCUGCCACAAAUGUGGUGUCCAAUACUGAUGAUCAGCAUACAGAGAUGACAUCCACAUGGAGUAACAGGUAGAACUCUUGUCUCAUAGAAAAACCCAGAGCACUUCUUGUGGGCUCUGAAGGAGGAGGUGUAUGUGUACAUGCUCAGUGAGGACGGCCAGGAGGAACUGUGGUCACCAGUGCGCUGUAUCCUUUCUAGAAAAUACUAAAAAUAGCAUCCCUGAUACUAUCACGGCAAACCUGGUGGCUGAACUUUGUGACUUUGUCCUCACCCACAACUAUUUCAGAUUUGGGGACAAUUUAUACCUUCAAGUCAGCGGGACUGCUAUGGGUACCCGCAUGGCAGCACAGUAUGCCAACAUUUUUAUGGCUGACUUAGAACAAUGCUUCCUCAGCUCUCGUCCCCUAAUGCCCCUACUCUACUUGCACUACAUCAUCAUUUGGAUCCAUGGGACCGAGGCCCUUGUGGAAUUUCACCAUGAUUUCAACAAUUUCCACCCCACCAUCAACCUCAGCCUGGACCAAUCCACACAAGAGAUCCACUUCCCAGACACUGCAGUGCUAAGAAGCGAUGGUCACAAA